GGGGAUGUUUUGGUUUUGACAGCACUGAUGUCUGACGGUAAGCAAGCCGGGCUCUGUGGGGCGGCCCGUUAAUCCUGAUCCUCGAAAAUUCAGUUGGCAAAUCCAACUUUGCACUCGCUGCCUAAUCAGACCAAGUCUAUUAGCUUAAUCCGCGGCGCCUAGGCUGCGCCGCCGACGAGUAUCCCUCGGACUUUCUGCCCGUUAUUGUCCGGCCCAGGGGUAUCAUUCAGAAUGGGACGCUCCGGUGGACGCCUUUAAAGCCGGCUAAGAUUAAAGGCUAAGGGUUUGGUGGCCCGUCUUUCGGCAGCCCUUCCCCUACAAUCAAAGGAAGAAUAAGCUUGUAGAAAGCCGCUGGGUGCGGUGUUUGGACGGCGGUUCGAGUCCGCCCAUCUCCACA
rnacentral:tmRNA from 1 species